GACGAACGCUGGCGGCGUGCCUAAUACAUGCAAGUUGAGCGCUGAAGGUUGGUACUUGUACCGACUGGAUGAGCAGCGAACGGGUGAGUAACGCGUGGGGAAUCUGCCUUUGAGCGGGGGACAACAUUUGGAAACGAAUGCUAAUACCGCAUAAAAACUUUAAACACAAGUUUUAAGUUUGAAAGAUGCAAUUGCAUCACUCAAAGAUGAUCCCGCGUUGUAUUAGCUAGUUGGUGAGGUAAAGGCCCACCAAGGCGAUGAUACAUAGCCGACAUGAUAGGGUGAUCGGCCACAUGGGGACUGAGACACGGCCCAAACUCCUACGGGAGGCAGCAGUAGGGAAUCUUCGGCAAUGGACGAAAGUCUGACCGAGCAACGCCGCGUGAGUGAAGAAGGUUUUCGGAUCGUAAAACUCUGUUGGUAGAGAAGAACGUUGGUGAGAGUGGAAAGCUCAUCAAGUGACGGUAACUACCCAGAAAGGGACGGCUAACUACGUGCCAGCCGCCGCCGUAA
rnacentral:rRNA from 1 species